rnacentral:rRNA from 1 species
GUAGGUGGCAAGCGUUGUCCGGAAUUAUUGGGCGUAAAGCGCGCGCAGGCGGUCCUUUAAGUCUGAUGUGAAAGCCCACGGCUCAACCGUGGAGGGGUCAUUGGAAACUGGGGGACUUGAGUACAGAAGAGGAAAGCGGAAUUCCAAGUGUAGCGGUGAAAUGCGUAGAGAUUUGGAGGAACACCAGUGGCGAAGGCGGCUUUCUGGUCUGUAACUGACGCUGAGGCGCGAAAGCGUGGGGAGCAAACAGGAUUAGAUACCCUGGUAGUCCACGCCGUAAACGAUGAGUGCUAAGUGUUAGGGGGUUUCCCGCCCCCUUAGUGCUGCAGCUAACGCAUUAAGCACUCCGCCUGGGGAGUACGCCGCAAGGCUG